GGACCGCUGCGGCUCACCCCCGGAGCGCCCAUGGCCCAGCCGCCGCCGCCGGUCUACGUGUACAGCGCCGAGUACGUGGCGCGGUGCGACGCCCUCUGCAAAGUGCCGCGACGGGCAAGCAUGGUGCAUUCGCUGAUCACGGCCUACUCGCUGCUGGACCAUAUGAGGGUGGUAAAGCCCAAAGUGGCUUCCAUGGAGGAGAUGGCGAGCUUCCACACGGACGCCUACUUGCAGCAUCUGCAGAAAGUCAGCAGCGACGGCGAUGACGACCACCCAGAAUCUGCAGAAUACGGGCUAGGUUACGACUGCCCGGCCACGGAAGGGAUCUUCGACUACGCCGCUGCCGUCGGAGGGGCCACCAUCACGGCGGCCCAGUCCCUGGUGGAGGGAGAAUGCAGAGUGGCCAUCAACUGGCCCGGGGGCUGGCACCACGCAAAGAAAGACGAAGCUUCUGGCUUCUGCUACGUGAACGACGCGGUCCUGGGCAUUCUGCAGCUGCGACGGAAGUUUGACCGUGUCCUCUACGUUGACUUGGACCUGCACCACGGGGAUGGUGUAGAAGACGCCUUCAGCUUCACCUCCAAAGUCAUGACCGUGUCUCUGCAUAAGUUUUCACCAGGGUUUUUUCCCAGGGACAGGAGAUGUGACAGACGUGGGACUGGGGAAAGGACGCUACUACAGUGUCAAUGUGCCUAUCCAGGAUGGCAUUCAGGACGAGAAAUACUUCCAGAUCUGCGAGACGGUGCUCAAGGAGAUCUACGCGGCAUUCAGCCCCGAUGCCAUCGUGCUGCAGCUGGGAGCCGACACGAUCGCCGGCGACCCCAUGUGCUCCUUCAACAUGACCCCCGAGGGGAUUGGCAAGUGCCUGAGCUACGUGCUACAGUGGCAGCUGCCGACACUCAUCCUCGGAGGAGGGGGCUACCAUCUUGCCAACACGGCUCGUUGUUGGACAUACUUGACUGGCAUCAUUCUAGGGAGAACUUUGUCCUCUGAGAUUCCAGAUCAUGAGUUCUUUACACACUAUGGCCCUGACUAUGUCCUGGAAAUCACCCCAAGCUGCCGGCCAGACCGCAAUGAGCCCCAGAGAAUCCAGGAGAUCCUCCGCCACGUGAAGGGGAACCUGAAGUACGUGGUGUAGGAGGGGAGGACUGCUCAGUUGUUUGACCCACCUGACCUCCCCGGGACAGAGCUGUCAGUUGCCGCUGGGAUUCCGGAAGAGAACCGCUCAGGACCUCUCACGGCGUUGCCAGCCCAGCUGCCCCCCCCCCGGUGACCCCCGAGUCUGCCGACCAGCCCACUCCCAGCAUUGCCUCCCACCCACUUUUCUAACAGGCCGAUCCAUGGGCUGGGAGGGAGGCCGGAUUUGGCACAGCAUCACUAGCAAGGAGAGAGCAUUUCCUGUUGCUACAUCGGUGCUUUGGUUUUCUAGCUGUUUGGUUACUUGUGGGGACCAUGGUGACAGCUCUCACCCAGUGGACAGAAGGCCAUGAGCACCCUGGACACUGGGGGGGGAGGGGCAGAGGGCACCUUUUUGUACUGGUUGAAACCACAUCUGGAGGAACAUUGCCCGUGAAAACUGUUUGCCUUGCAAAUAAAGUCUUUGAUAUAUUU